AUAAAUUGUGUAGACCUAAUGGAACUGCGAGGAAAGGGCUACUCAUGUGAGACGAGGUGGAGCCGCCCGAGGUAGUAGCGAACCACAGUACUCAAGGGUCCGGUCCUGAUUAGCAAUUGUAUCCAGUAGACCUGCGAGGAAAGGGCUAUCUAUGAGAGACGAGGUAGAAUUGCUCAAGGUACUAGCAAACCAUAAUACCCAAGGGUCCAAAUUGACCCAAAUAAUUUUUU
rnacentral:lncRNA from 1 species